AGGAGCCUGUAGAUCUUCUGGCUAGCGGUUGCGUCUGGUCUGUACUAGUUUAGGAAGGAUGGGAGAUAUGGUGUUACAGGAUAUCUGCUUUUGGAUGACGAGCUGCGGGCUGAGAUUAAGAUGUUUGGGAAACCUAAGGGCUCUGUGAGAUUUCACAAGCGCAUGGUAAGUUUGUGCUUGUGUGUCUCGGAUUAAGGAAGGGGCAAUUUAGGGUUGAGCAUUACGCAUCAAAACCAACAAAGUUUAUUUUAGCUCAUGAUUCUAGAAUUGCGUGUUUUGCUCUGGCACAGGACAGAAAUAUGCUUGCUAUGGCCAGCAAUGACACUGUGUCGUUGCACGAGGUAGGC